ACUGCUCAGUAACACGUGGACAACCUGCCCAAAGGUCCGGGAUAACCCCGGGAAACUGGGGAUAAUACCGGAUAAAUCACAGGUACUGGAAGGUCUUGUGGUUGAAACUUCCGGGGCCUUUGGAUGGGUCUGCGGCGGAUUAGGUUGUUGCCGGUGUAACGUACCGUCAAGCCUGUAAUCCGUACGGGUUGUGGGAGCAAGAGCCCGGAGAUGGAUUCUGAGACACGAAUCCAGGCCCUACGGGGCGCAGCAGGCGCGAAAACUCUACAAUGCAGGCAACUGCGAUAGGGGAACAUCGAGUGAUACUCAUAUUGGGUGUCUGUCCCACCGUCUAAAAAACGGUGGUUAGCAAGGGCCGGGCAAGACCGGUGCCAGCCGCCGCGGUAAUACCGGCGGCUCGAGUGGUGGCCGAUAUUAUUGAGUCUAAAGGGUCCGUAGCCGGCUUUGCAAGUCUUUUGGGAAAUCCAGCGGCUUAACCGUUGGUCGUCCGGGAGAUACUACAUUGCUUGGGACUGGGAGAGGUAGGAGGUACUCAGGGGGUAGGAGUGAAAUCCUGUAAUCCUUUGGGGACCACCGGUGGCGAAGGCGUCCUACCAGAACAGGUCCGACGGUGAGGGACGAAAGCUAGGGGCACGAACCGGAUUAGAUACCCGGGUAGUCCUAGCCGUAAACGAUGCUCGCUAGGUGUCACAACAAUCGUGAAUUGUUGUGGUGCCGUAGGGAAGCCGUGAAGCGAGCCACUUGGGAAGUACGACCGCAAGGUUGGAACUUAAAGGAAUUGGCGGGGGAGCAC
rnacentral:rRNA from 1 species